ACAAUGGCGUAACAAAGGGAAGCGAACCCGUGAGGGGGAGCAAAUCCCAAAAAAUAAACGUCCCAGUUCGGACUGUAGUCUGCAACCCGACUACACGAAGCUGGAAUCGCUAGUAAUCGCGAAUCAGAAUGUCGCGGUGAAUACGUUCCCGGGUCUUGUACACACCGCCCGUCACACCAUGGGAGUCGGGAAUGCCCGAAGUCCGUGACCCAACCUAUAGGAGGGAGCUGCCGAAGGCAGGUCUGAUAACUGGGGUGAAGUCGUAACAAGGUACC
rnacentral:rRNA from 1 species